rnacentral:snRNA from 1 species
GAGUGUGAGGGCGAUCUGGCUGUGACAUGGGUCCCCGCAUGGAUCGCCAGGGUUGACUCCACUGCUCUGGCUGGCGAGGCAGGUGUCCCCUUCCUCCCUCACCGCUCCAUGUGCGUCCCUCCGGAAGCUGCGCGCUUGGUGAAAGGAGACGACCACCCCGCAUAGAGGAGGAGCGUUUAGGUCAAGGGUAUUCGUACAGCUGUGCUCCCCUGGUAGGACCUCCAAAAAAGAGCUCAAGGUAGAGUAAACACAUUUUUAAAAGCGUUCUGCGUAUCUUA